rnacentral:tRNA from 1 species
UCCCUGGUCGCUUAGAUGGUAAAGCAUCUGUCUACAAUGCAGGAGACCUGGGUCCAAUCCCUAGGUUGGGAA